CCAAUAGCGUAUAUUAAAGUUGUUGCAGUUAAAAAGCUCGUAGUUGAAUUUUGGGUCUGGCCGGGCGGUCCGCCCUCCGGGUGAGUACUGUUCCGACGCCGGGCCUAUCCUUCUGGAGAGUCGACAUGUCCUUUGUUGGGUGUGCCGGGGAACCAGGACCAUUACCUUGAAAAAAUUAGAGUGUUCAAAGCAGGCGUAUGCUCGGAUACAUUAGCAUGGAAUAAUGAAAUAGGACGCGUGGAGCUAUUUUGUUGGUUUCUAGAACCGCCGUAAUGAUUAAUAGGGAUAGUUGGGGGCAUUAGUAUUCAAUUGUCAGAGGUGAAAUUCUUGGAUUUAUUGAAGACUAACUUCUGCGAAAGCAUUUGCCAAGGAUGUUUUCAUUAAUCAAGAACGAAAGUUAGGGGAUCGAAGACGAUCAGAUACCGUCGUAGUCUUAACCAUAAACUAUGCCGACUAGGAAUCGGGCGAUGUUAUUCUCAUGACUCGCCCGGCGCCUUAUG
rnacentral:rRNA from 1 species